rnacentral:lncRNA from 1 species
AGCUACUGACUUGAAACUUGAACUGAUUCUGAAAUGAACUUUGAAAUGUCUUCCCUCGUCUUCCAGGUGGGUGCCUACAAUCAAAAACAAAACAAACAAAAUUUUCUGCCCCAGUUUGCACUAGGAAGAUUGGUGAGUUUUUAUCAAAACUGUAAACAUACUUAUGCAACCGAUGUAAUAAUGAGAGUAAAACUAAAGACUUGAC